rnacentral:rRNA from 1 species
UACGGAGGAUCCAAGCGUUAUCCGGAAUUACUGGGCGUAAAGAGUUGCGUAGGCGGCAGAGUAAGCAGACAGUGAAAUUGUGUGGCUCAACCAUACACCCAUUAUCUGAACUGCUCAGCUAGAGGACGAGAGAGGUAACUGGAAUUCCUAGUGUAGGAGUGAAAUCCGUAGAUAUUAGGAGGAACACCGAUGGCGUAGGCAGGUUACUGGCUCGUUCCUGACGCUAAGGCACGAAAGCGUGGGGAGCAAACGGG